rnacentral:rRNA from 1 species
UACGUAGGGUGCAAGCGUUAAUCGGAAUUAUUGGGCGUAAAGAGCUCGUAGGCGGUUUGUCGCGUCUGCUGUGAAAACUCGGGGCUUAACCCCGGGCCUGCAGUGGGUACGGGCAGACUAGAGUGCGGUAGGGGAGACUGGAAUUCCUGGUGUAGCGGUGAAAUGCGCAGAUAUCAGGAGGAACACCGGUGGCGAAGGCGGGUCUCUGGGCCGUAACUGACGCUGAGGAGCGAAAGCGUGGGGAGCGAACAGG